UGUAGGCAGACAUAGAGAGAGAGAGAGAGAGAAAGGCAGACAGAGAGAGAGAGAGGCAGACAGACAGAGAGAGGAAGAAUAAGAAAAUAUUUUGAGAGGCAGAUGGGGGCAGGCGCAGUAGUGUAGCGGUCAGCGUAACGCUAUUACAGCGCCAGCAACCUGGGUUCAAUUCCGGCCACUGUCUGUAAGGAGUUUGUACGUUCUCCCUGUGUCUGCGUGGGUUUACUCCGGGUUCUCCGGUUUCCUCCCACAUUCCAAAGGCGCACAGUGGCCGGUGACAACAAACAACGAGAGGGGUUGUGGUCUGGAACUGAGCUCAGGAAGACAAAUUCACAAGAUGCUGCUGGACCCACUGAGUUCCUCCAGCAGACUGUUUGCUGCUCCAGAUUCCAGCAUCCGCAAUCUCCUGUGUCCUGCACAGGAGACCGGGCCCGGGAGAUCCGAAGAAUGGGGAAGGCAGGUGAAGAGGUGCGGAUCCAUCCAGGAAAUCCAGGCCUUCCGAACAUUGCAAUCAACUCCCUCCAGUGUUUGGGAUAACAUGAUGUGGGUCUGAACACAGAGAAGAACGAAGGAGAGGUGCUGAAUGACAAUUUAAGCAGAAGCAAGAGGCUUGAAAUUCCAGAGUGCAGGAAAACAGAUUUAUCCAAGGAGACAUAGGGAAACAUUCAAGGUGAUCCUUCUGGACCAAGUGCUUGCAUACUUCCCCACCGAUCAAGACUUCCACCAUUGAUCAGGGAGUUACAUGAUGCACCACUGGGGACCAUGUUUGGACACCAGAGAAAGGAGGGGGUAUAAGGCGCAUGAUGCACUUCCUAUUGUUCGGGUACCAUAGCAACAAACACUGGUCAUUGCCACAUUGGUGUGUGCAAAUCAGCUGCCUUGUUUCCAAUAGGACAGACUACAACAGUCAGUACUUAAUUGGCUGCAAGGCAUCAGGCAUGUCCCAAAGUUGUGAACAGCUCUGUACAAAAAGCAAGAUGCUGGAGGAACCCAACGGGUCAGGCAGCAUCUGUGGAGGGAAACGCACAGUCGACGCUUCAGGUUAAGAGGGGAGACAACCAGUAUAAAAGAGGUGAGGGGAAGAGGUGGUGGGUGGAUCCAGGUAGGUAGGUGAGUGGUGAUAGGCAGGUGGCAGAGGGGAGAGUGGGAAUGCUGACAGAGGCUGAGAGGUGAGAGGGAGAGGAACAAAAGGCUGCAAGAUGGUGGAAUCUGACAGGAGAGGGAGUGGAGCAUGGAAUAAAGUGGGGGGAGGUGGGAUGGACAGAUGGGAACAGCGGGCAGAGUGUGUGGGUGUUGUGUAGAUGGAGGAGGGGAAAGAAACGGGGGAUUGGGGGCUGGGGUUGGUGUAGGAAGAACUGGGUAGAUCAGAAGAAAAGAGACCAGGUGGGGGUAGUUCACCUGAAUUUGGAGAACCCAAUUAUUCAUGCUGUUGUGUUGAAGACUACCCAGGCAGAAUACAAGGUGCUGUUCCUCCAGCUCUGUACAAAUGCAAGUCUCACCCGUCAAAAGGACGUUGCUAUCAAAUGUGUAUAUACUCCUCGCAUCCGAGAACAACCCCAAGAUACAGUGUGGGUGUCCAGCUGCAAUUAUAUAAACUACUCCUUGCCGAAGGCAUACCUACAAAUCAAGAGGGGGGUUUUGGUUUUGACCCAGAUAAAGAGGUCACAACCCUCUCGGAAUUUCAGGGGGCAAUUCUGAAGCCUGCAUCAUAGUUGAAGCAACGACUUGAUCUCUGGUACUUGAAGCAUGAAGACCAGCCAUCAGAUAGAAAAUGUUUCAGGGUACCAGAAGAGCAACGCAAAAACUAAUUCAAUAGACCAGCUACACAGAUCCACCCAAUAUGUACAGUCCAUUCAAGCACCAUUGGAAGGAAGAGAAUCCAGCAUUCUGAAGACAAAAAUUAGCACCACAUUCGUAACUAUAAUGUAAACAAGUUUAACAAAUUGUCAAGUAUCAUAAUUCAAUAUUCUCGUUGUGCCUGGUACAGCAGUUCAGAUUUAAUUGUAACACUUUCCGUUUGUGCCAAGCUACAGGGUAACAAAGCAUCCCAAGGUACUUAAUGGGUGAUAGCAAAUAUUUGCACUGGGCCACAGAGGUAUUGGGCAGGUGAUCAAAAGCUCGGUCAAAGAGUGGGGAGAAGCAGAAUGGAGGAGAGGUGCUGGAGGAGUUUGGGGGGGGGGGGUGGGAAUUCCAGAACACAGAGCCUCAGCAUGGCCACCAGGGGUAGGGCAAUUAGAUUCAGGGGGCAAGUAAGAGACCAGAAUGGUGGUGCAGAGAUUUGCACGAGGUUCCACCAACUAAAAGCAAGAUACUUUCGGGGCCUUUACCAACCCACACUUGCCCUGCUGGGGGCAAAGCACUUACUGUUUAUGAAGACCAUCUCCUUAAGCUCACACCUCCCAAUUCAACCUCGGUCACACAACCAGUCACGGGCAAACGGUUGACCAUUUAGGAAGAAAAUAUCUCUUCAUUUCAAAGACUGUGAAACCUUGGAACUCUAAAGGCACCAGUUGAAUAUUGGAAAGGCUGAGACUGAUGGCUCUUUUGGAACUAUGGAAACAGUUGAGAAAUUAUUUAUUAGUUUGGGGGUGCUCGAGAGGCAGUUGGGUGGACUGUUGUUUGCGUUCCUCUCCCCUAGAAUCCUGACCCGCACUGGUAGAGCAACUCGCCAACAUCUCUCCGCGCCCGCCCCC